GGUGAAGAUCGCGCUCCGCAUAGCAAAUUCGGCCAUGUUCUGAGUGGUUGCUCGGCAAGGUAGAAGAGCAAUUGAUCAGAAGGCCCAUAAUUUUUUCAUGGAUGUAGAAGAAACCGAAAAGAUCCUUUCAUGGUUGUACAAGGAAGCCCUAAAAUACCUAUCUUCACCUUCGCUUCCUCUAAUCUGUACUCUAUCCCUCCCCCAGUUGAAAAACAAAUCCACGUCUCUCUCAAAACCAAGUUGAGGCAUGGAUCCCGUGUAAUCAAGGAGCUUAUUGCGUCAAGAUUAUUUUCUUCCUCUGGAUCAGAUAGUGUUGCGCGCUCAAGGGAUUCAAUCUAGAAUCUUCUCACCUACAGUACAACCUAUGGAUGUCCGAGAUCGGUCGGGGCAUAACUAUGCUCCUCAGGUGAGUUUAUAAAUUAAGAAACAUGUUGUCUAAACAAACAUAAACAUGAAGGAGCCUAAUGUCAGUUGUCAACAUGCCGUUGUUUAAGCCACUCCUAAAUCAAUUUUCGUAUGGG